GCACUAGCCGCGGACGGCCGCCAAGUCGUUCCGGCAGCCGUGAUCGAGGGUUCGGACGCCGGGGGUAAACAGUUGUCAGCUGACUCGAGGUGGAAACACACCCCUGAGACGCCGCCCGUAAGACCCGUGCUUGUGGCCAGCGAGAAGGGGCCACGGCAGUCCAGCGGGGUAUGCAGUGCCGAGCACAGACCCAGACAGCCGAGCAACAUGAGUGACCGUGACUACAGCCCCCUGAGCGCCGCAUGUGUGCGGGCCCUCAGCGACAAACUGUAUGACAAGCGGAAGGCAGCGGCCCUGGAGAUCGAGAAGAUGGUGAAGGACUUCAUAAUCAGCAGCAAGCCAGACCAGAUAGCCAAGCUGAUCAGAGUGUUGGAGGAGUUUGCUAUGUCUCACAACCCCCACACCAGAAAGGGAGGCCUCAUAGGGUUGGCAGCGGUUGCCAUUGGUCUUGGCACAAAGAAUAUCGCACCAUUCAUACGUGAGCUGGUUAGUCCUAUUCUGGCUUGCUUCACGGACAGCAACCCCAAUGUACGGUACUAUGCCACAGAAUCCCUCUAUAAUGUGGUCAGGGUCUCCCGAGGCACCGUUCUGUCACAGUUCAAUGACAUUUUCACCAUCCUUGUUCGGCUGGCCACGGAUGCAGACCAGAACGUAAAAAAUGGUUCUGAAAUGCUUGACCGGAUCAUGAAGGACAUCGUCACCGAGAGCAACUCCUUUGACAUGAUAUCCUUUAUCCCGGUCCUGCGCGAGAAACUCUAUGCCAACAACCACUGGGCACAAACGCUGGUGGUCUCCUGGGUGUCUGUCCUCCACACUGUGCCUGAAGUGGACACGCUGUCCUUCCUCUCCGACAUACUAGAGGGUCUCUUCUUCAUCAUGGAGGGUCCAAAGCCAGAGGUCAAAAAAAUGUGUGAGGCAGUUGUUGGAGAGUUUCUUGCAAGCAUAAAGAAAGCACCUGAAAAGGUUAAGUUUGCUGACAUGAUUAACAUCGUUAUCACCCAUGCACAGUCAAAUGAUCCAGUGGUGCAGAUGAUCUCACUUACUUGGAUUCAUGAGUUUGUGAGGCUGUCGGGGCGUGUUAUGCUGCCCCAUCUGGCGGGCAUCCUGACGGCCAUCCUGCCUUGCCUGGCCCUGGAUGACCCCACCUAUGCCAGGGAACAACAGGAAAGUAACCCAGACAAUGAUGCUGCAGCAGCUGAAAAUAAAAUCAAGCAGGCAAAGCUAAAGACCCGGGGCCUGGCCAAGGAGGUGAACAUCAACCUCAUGCGACUCAUUACUGUAGAGGACGACAGGGACACCCCUGAUGGAGCAGCUGGUGAUGACCAGUACCUCCCACAGGUGCCUCACACUCCACAGAUGUCCAUUGUUCCUGGCACCUCUGCCUCCAGCCCUCUGACUGCUUCCUCAGCCAAUGUUCUUCCCACAGAGCCACCCGAGGAUGUUCAUGAGGGAGAGCUAAAGCUGGGCUCUGUGAUGGAGGUGCUGCACAUACAGCUGCGCAACACUCCUGUGCCCUGCAAGACUGCUGUGUUGCGAUGGAUCUACCACCUUCACAACAAAAUCCCAAACAAGAUGUUCCGUUACCUGGAGGAACUCUUCCCUGUCUUGCUCCGAACCCUGUCAGACCCUUCAGACGAAGUGGUGCUGUUGGUUAUUGAGGUGUUGGCCCAGAUCGCAUCUACAACCAACCACAGCCCUGUGGCAGGCCCUGUGGCAGAGCCUAUCACCAGCGCCUCCACAUCCCCGGGAGUCUCCUCCGCCUCCUCUGCCCCACAAGGUGGUGACGAGACUAAGACUAAUGUGAACGAGUACUUCACUAGAUUCCUGCAGAACCUCCUUCACCUCUUCACUACAGAGAGGAAUCUGUUGGAAGAUAGGGGACCACUGAUCAUCAGGCAGCUUUGUGUAAUGCUGAGUGCAGAGGACAUCUACCGUACCCUUGCAGAGCUCCUGCAGGAUGGGGAUGAUCUCAUUUUUGCCUCUAAAAUGGUUCAGACACUCUCCUCCAUCCUGCUCACCUCAAAGGAACUCUUUUUGCUGAGGAGGCAGCUCAAGGAUCUCUCAUCUCCUGAGAGUUGUGAGCUGUUUGUGAAACUGUACCGGUCGUGGAGCCACAACCCAGUGGCCACCCUCACGCUGUGCCUCCUCACACAGAACUACACCCACGCUGCCACACUGGUCCAUGUCUUCGGUGACAUUGAGGUGACGGCAGACUUCCUGGUUGAGGUGGACAAGUUGGUGCAGCUUUUGGAAUCUCCAAUCUUUACUUACCUUCGCCUCCAGCUGCUUGACCCCAAGAGGCACUCUGCUUUGGUUGAGGCACUCUAUGGCCUACUCAUGUUGUUGCCCCAGACAAAGGCCUUCACCUUGCUACAUGAUCGGCUCAACUGUUUACCGCCAGCCCACCUGCUUCAAGACACUUGUUCAAGGGAACUGCCACGUGACCUCUCCAGAAACAUAGACUUUGAGGAGCUGUUGGCUUAUUUCAACAAUAUCCAGGAGAAGCACCGUGCCUACAAACACCAGAAGAUAAAGCAGCAGCUCCAGUCCAACGUGGAUCCAGUCACCCACCCGUAAGACCCGUCCACUCUGCAACACCAAGCCACACUUUGAAUACACAGUUAAAUCCUCUUAGGCUACCCAUAACCCACCACUCUUCCUGCUGCACUUAAAACAUUCACUGUUACUUUGCCACGUUUCCUCUUAACUGUCUGUCACACAAGGCUCAAGGAUUUCUCAUUCAAUUGCCAUUAUUUUAUUCAUCCAUUCAUUCAUCCUACACAAAUGCAUGGAUUCUAACAACACCACAGAGACAUUUAUCCUUUUAGCCUGAUAAGAAAGGCGAUUGAUUUUAAUGUUAAUGGAAUAAGGGUGUCUUAACUAUUUUUGAAAUGUACAGAUUUUUAAAAAAAUGUCAGUUUGGGUAUAAAAAGUGUUGGUACAACACAUCCUUUUAGCAUCAUCAAUAGAUGGUUUCAAGCCUUUGGUGUAGAAAGUGACCCAAAGUGGAUCGCACAUGAUCUAAAGGUUGGUGUAUGGCAAUUGAGAUCUGGCAGUUUGCCUUGCAGUUCAUUCAUUAAUACUCCGCUCCACCAAACAGCCCAAAUCUCCCAUAUUGGCCCUAGUGAUUUCUUUGUAUCAGUUGUGAACCAUGACAGGUGUUUUUGGAAGCUGUAGUGGAUGGGGGGAUCACCAGUCCCCUGGUGCACUACUUCAUUAAAACUGGCAAACUGGAGCAGGUCUCCUAGUAUGGCGAAGGCUUUUGUUGGGGCAGCUCGGUUGUCAUUGCUGUUUUGAAUGCAUUUUUUAAUUAAUCUUAUUCUCUCAAAGAAGUAUGGCAACUAAUAGCCACUUCUGUCAGUCUUUCAUGUACAAUACUAUUAAGUUGGUCAUGGAUCUAAAUGAUGUUAUUGAAGGAUUAAGUUGAUACUUUGACCUCAUUUCAUGUCUUCUGGCCAUGAAAUUUCAUUUGGCUUGGGAAGCUUUGGUCAUAGUAGAAACAAGUCUCACAGUGAAAUACCAAUGAUAGUAGGGAUGGUGGUAGUGAUAGCGUUAAAUGGUAUAUAUUGGUGGUGCUAAAGCUACCACCACUACCUUCCCUCUGCCACUUUGUAUUAGAUUACCAUAUGCAACAGGCUUCUAUGAGCUUUUGUAAAGCAAGAUUUUUGUACUUACUGGCUCAUUAAUGUGUAGAUAUCAAUUUUUUUAUGGCAAAACCAGAAAUGAUCCGUCUAUGCACUCCUGCUUUUCGCUGUGGGUGUGGUAAUCAUUAGGCUUAGUGAUCAAAUAUUACUGAUUAUGGUUUGAAGCCACUUUGACCUGGUACUCUUGAUUGGUUUGCUCUUCUGCUGGCUGCCUGAAGGACAAAUUAUGGUCAUGCGUGUAGUCUCAAAUGUAUUAUUGCACGAGUGGUUUUAUAGUUGAAUGAAAAUAGGUCUCCGGUAACUUUGAAGGUAGUGUUAAUUCCUGAUAUGAAGAUAAGUAUUGAAAAUAUAUAACUGAAAUUUAUUUUAGUAUGACAUUUGUAAAUGUAAGCGACUUUGCUGGACAAGGAAACCGUUGCAACAAGAACUUGAUGGGGGAAGAAUCUGAGUAUUUUUGCUUAUGUAGAAUUGGAAAAUCUGUUAGCCAAGUAAUGAUAUUAAAUUGGCAGAAUCUGAUGUUAUUUCUUGUAGAGUUUGAGUUUUAUGAUGUGGAGGGUGAUGGUAUGGAUCUAGUUAGCAGAAUUUGUUACUUUGUGUAAAGUUAGUUUAUACUCUGAUUUGCAAGGUAAUUUUGUGAAGAAAACUUGCAUUACAUGUCAGGCUUUCCAGGCUUCUAGGCACACCACCCUGUGCUGUGCCAAUACAAGCAUCUUUGAGUAAUUGUAUAGUCACUAUGGCUCUUUCCUUUCCCUCUUAUGGUAUUCACCUUAAUAAAGUAGUAAGCUAAAUAUCAUGACAAAGGAGAUCAGGGUAAAGUAACUACAAUUAACUACAGGUGCAUGUGUGUAUACUUAUAGAAAAAUGGCCAAUGAUGGCAGAGAUUGUGUUCAUCUGGCACCACUUGCUGAAACAUUCCUUGACAGUUUUCUCCUUUUGUCCUCUAGCGUAACCUUCCCUAAUUUGCUUUGAUCCAUUUUAUGAAGGUUAUUCUUAAUAUUCUUUGUCUUUUAGUCUUAUAUUUUUUUAUUCAUAGCUAUUUAUUCAUGUGUCUUCAGAGUGAGCUUCAAGCCCUUGUUCUUCUCUACCUCAAGGAACCUAUUAAUGGAAGUAAAUUGUUUUGAAUUGUAUUUCUUUUACUAUAAGUUGUUAUAAUUAAAUCCAAAGAUGCCCUAAUUGUUAGCAUAGUAUAUAAGCUAUUUAUGAUGCAUGAAAGAUUUCAAAGUGUAAUGUCUCAAGAAUUUCUUGAUUCAAGAAUGUACAAUUAUAUACUCUAAGGAAAAACUGGAAGGUAAAUCUUAAUGCAUUGAUGAAUUGUAAAUGCUCUGGAGACUAUAGAUACAUGAAUUUGGUUGAUCUGUUUAAUGUGGCUGACACAUGUAAUUGUCAGUAUUUUGCUAGAAUUUUUCCUUUAGGGCAUUAGGUUUGACCUUGUUAACUAGGCAGGUGACGUUUUGUGAUAGCCAAGCAGGUAAUUUUUGAAGCCACGGUCAAGUACUCCUGCCAACUGCCUCUGUGUGACUGUUGUUGAUGUGCCUCCAGCCUUAGUUUUUUUUCCAGUAUUUACAUUCUUUUCUGUAUGAAGAAGUGAGACUUUUAUAUAUUUACCUAAUGCACCCUAGAAUAAAGAAACUUCAUUUUUAAUCUUUCAUCAUGUCAAUCCCUCCAGUUCUGGAACCAUUUUCGUUGCCAUCCUUUGUAUUUUCUAGUUUUUUUGUGUUAUGUGGAGACCACACCGCCUCUGCAUAUUCCAAUUUUGGCCUAAUCAUAGUGGUUAUUAACUUUUUCAUCAUAUCCUUGUUCAUGUAGUGGAAUGCUAAUCCUUUAUUUCUCACCAUAUUAUACGUAUCACCGAAUAUCCGAUUAACAUGACUCUUGUAUUGUUACUCCCAGAUCUCUCUCUUCGAGAACUUUCUUUAAUAUUUCUCUAUCUCCCAUUUUAUAUGUCCAUUUUUUUUUUCGUUGUGUGUGUGUGUGUGUGUGUGUGUGUGUGCAGUACUAAUACUAAUACUAAUAAUAUACGGUUUAUUUAGGGAUGAGCAGCUCGUGAGCUGAAAAUAUACAUAUAUAUGGAGAUCAUUAAAAUUACAAACUGUGUGUGUGUGUGUGUGUGUGUCGCUAAGGGAGAUAAACGAAAGGAAAUCCUGUAGUCCUGCGACGCACGCAAGCACUCACACGAGACCCGAGCCACGAAGCGGAUCAUCGCCACCUCGCUCCUGCUCAGCCGUCGUCCUGGUGGCCCUUGAAACUGCCCCGGUAACACAUCGACGCCAAAUAUAAUAUAGGUGAAUACUGGUGAUUACAGUAAGGCGUGUCAGCUGCCCGGCCCCUUGCGCAGUGCUGGGGUGCAAAGUCAGGAUCCACGGCAUCAGGAGGAGCUAGCUUCUGUGACUCAAGAAGGGAGCGGCACAUCCGCCCGGCUUCUUUCUCCGCCAAGCCUUCACGUCGGCCAAUUAUCUUCAAAUCACGCCCCACCCGCCCUCAAUCCAAAGCCUUACAAUCAUGGAGGCACAAUCUUGCAACAACCAUGGUGCUGAUACCCAAGCCCAGCAGUCCCUGAUGUUGUGGUUGACGGUGGCGGUGGCAGGGGUGGGGGCGGUGCUCAUGCUGGUGCUGGUGGCGAUGCUGAUGAGGAUGAAGAGGCUGGUGAAACAGGUGAAGGGAGGAAUACUCAACGAAGAAGACCACAUCUACGAUGAGAUAGAAAUCAAGCCGAGGAGAGUGGACGCUCCGGCAGGCAAAGGCAUAUACUCUGGAAUAUACGAGGACGGCUACAUGGUCCCGAAAAUCAGUCCCUUCGGCAAAUCAAACAAGAUCACGAUGGGGUAGGGAUGAAGCCACCAACCGUUCCCUCCCCCGUCGGACUGUGACCACGGCCACACUAUUAUGGGUCAAGGAAGGACAAGGCAAGUUGAAUGUUACACAGAACCGGAAUCCAACCAUUGCGUUGAUGCCGUUAUCCGCCUCGCAUUGAUUUUAUUUCACACCGGUAACAUUAUAAUUAGCCUAAUAUUAUUAUCAUUGUAUUGGUAUUGGUAUUAUUUGCAUCAGUAUUAUAUAUAUAUAUAUAUAUAUAUAUAUAUAUAUAUAUAUAUAUAUAUAUAUAUAUAUAUAUAUAUAUAUAUAUAUAUAUAUAUAUAUAUAUAUAUAUAUAUAUAUAUAUAUAUAUAUAUAUAUAUAUAUAUAUAUAUAUAUAUAUAUUAUCCAGCGGCGUGGCUACGGGGAGGAGGGUUGAGUUACUGUCCCCGGAUAAAAGUUGGACACCAGAUGAGCCCCAUUUGAAAAUCUGAGAGAAUGAAAAUGCACUCCAACAUAAAGAAUAAUUAAAGUAUCUGAGCAACGGGCCUCUCCACUAACCCUCCCCCCCUCACGGGCCCUCUUGUGCGGCCCUUCGCUGCGCCGCGGCGGGUGCGAGGGCGCCGACAGAGCGCAGGAAGCGAUAACAGACAGGAAGCGUGUGUAGCGGGAAAACAAACGUUUUAGUAUUUGUAGCUUACUGAGGCGCAGAUGAACAAAAUAAUAAAAGCAUUUGUAUUUAAGACUUGAAAUUUCCAGGACAAGUUUGGACGAUGAUUCCUUUCACUGUGAAUGCAUAUGUUGAUGCAUGGCCUCAUUAUCUCAUGACAUCAUGCGGAUAACAUUAAAGUAAUGCCCUAAUUAA